rnacentral:rRNA from 1 species
UACGUAGGGCGCAAGCGUUGUCCGGAAUUAUUGGUCGUAAAGAGCUCGUAGGCGGUCUGUCACGUCUGCCGUGAAAACCCGAGGCUUAACCUCGGGCCUGCGGUGGAUACGGGCAGACUAGAGGUAGGUAGGGGAGAAUGGAAUUCCCGGUGUAGCGGUGAAAUGCGCAGAUAUCGGGAGGAACACCGGUGGCGAAGGCGGUUCUCUGGGCCUUACCUGACGCUGAGGAGCGAAAGCGUGGGGAGCGAACAGG